GAUGAACGCUGGCGGCGUGCCUAAUACAUGCAAGUCGAGCGAACGGACGAGAAGCUUGCUUCUCUGAUGUUAGCGGCGGACGGGUGAGUAACACGUGGAUAACCUACCUAUAAGACUGGGAUAACUUCGGGAAACCGGAGCUAAUACCGGAUAAUAUUUUGAACCGCAUGGUUCAAAAGUGAAAGACGGUCUUGCUGUCACUUAUAGAUGGAUCCGCGCUGCAUUAGCUAGUUGGUAAGGUAACGGCUUACCAAGGCAACGAUGCAUAGCCAACCUGGGAGGGUGAUCGGCCACACUGGAACUGAGACACGGUCCAGACUCCUACGGGAGGCCGCAGUAGGGAAUCUUCCGCAAUGGGCGAAAGCCUGACGGAGCAACGCCGCGUGAGUGAUGAAGGUCUUCGGAUCGUAAAACUCUGUUAUUAGGGAAGAACAUAUGUGUAAGUAACUGUGCACAUCUUGACGGUACCUAAUCAGAAAGCCACGGCUAACUACGUG
rnacentral:rRNA from 1 species